UAUAAGCAAUUAUACAGCGAAACUGCGAAUGGCUCAUUAAAUCAGUUAUCGUUUAUUUGAUAGUACCUUACUACUUGGAUAACCGUGGUAAUUCUAGAGCUAAUACAUGCUAAAAAUCCCGACUCACGAAGGGAUGUAUUUAUUAGAUUAAAAACCAAUGCCCUUCGGGGCUCUUUGGUGAUUCAUAAUAACUUCUCGAAUCGCAUGGCCUUGCGCCGGCGAUGGUUCAUUCAAAUUUCUGCCCUAUCAACUUUCGAUGGCAGGGUCUUGGCCUGCCAUGGUUACAACGGGUAACGGAGGGUUAGGGCUCGACCCCGGAGAAGGAGCCUGAGAAACGGCUACUACAUCCAAGGAAGGCAGCAGGCGCGCAAAUUACCCAAUCCCGACACGGGGAGGUAGUGACAAUAAAUACUGAUACAGGGCUCUUUCGGGUCUUGUAAUUGGAAUGAGUACAAUUUAAAUCCCUUAACGAGGAACAAUUGGAGGGCAAGUCUGGUGCCAGCAGCCGCGGUAAUUCCAGCUCCAAUAGCGUAUAUUAAAGUUGUUGCAGUUAAAAAGCUCGUAGUUGAACCUUGGGCCUGGCCGGCCGGUCCGCCUCACCGCGUGCACUGGUUCGGCCGGGCCUUUCCCUCUGGGGAACCCCAUGUCCUUCACUGGGUGUGCGGGGGAACCAGGACUUUUACUGUGAAAAAAUUAGAGUGUUCAAAGCAGGCCUAUGCUCGAAUACAUUAGCAUGGAAUAAUAAAAUAGGACGUGCGGUUCUAUUUUGUUGGUUUCUAGGACCGCCGUAAUGAUUAAUAGGGACAGUCGGGGGCAUCAGUAUUCAAUUGUCAGAGGUGAAAUUCUUGGAUUUAUUGAAGACUAACUACUGCGAAAGCAUUUGCCAAGGAUGUUUUCAUUAAUCAGGAACGAAAGUUAGGGGAUCGAAGACGAUCAGAUACCGUCGUAGUCUUAACCAUAAACUAUGCCGACUAGGGAUCGGACGAUGUU
rnacentral:rRNA from 1 species